AUGAAUAACUCACAAAAUCAAAGGGAAGAGACUUACGUAGUGGUGGUGGCUGAUUGUUGCCGCGACGAUAGAUGUAGAUCGGAAACUGAGAUAUCAUGCGCAUCGGCAACUGGUAGGCCUGCUGCGGCGGCAAGUGGUUGUUGGGGCGUCAGGAUCUGCGAAGUUGACGGUGGGAUGUGUGAUGCACGCAGUGAUUCUGCAGAUCCGGUUGAUGUCGGCGGAACGAGCUAUGUUGUUGUUGAUGCAGGUGGAGGUUUCAAGAAGAGCCAGGGGAGUCGCCGGUGA